CAUUAAGUGGCUGAAAGUAAGCAUUGGUCUCUUAAACCAAAUAAUAGUAUUUUACAAUUACUCUUAAUGA
rnacentral:tRNA from 2 species